AUCAUGGCUCAGAUUGAACGCUGGCGGCAGGCUUAACACAUGCAAGUCGAGCGGGGAUAGGGUGCUUGCACCUGAUUCCUAGCGGCGGACGGGUGAGUAAUGCUUAGGAAUCUGCCUAUUAGUGGGGGACAACGUUCCGAAAGGGACGCUAAUACCGCAUACGUCCUACGGGAGAAAGCAGGGGAUCUUCGGACCUUGCGCUAAUAGAUGAGCCUAAGUCGGAUUAGCUAGUUGGUGGGGUAAAGGCCUACCAAGGCGACGAUCUGUAGCGGGUCUGAGAGGAUGAUCCGCCACACUGGGACUGAGACACGGCCCAGACUCCUACGGGAGGCAGCAGUGGGGAAUAUUGGACAAUGGGGGGAACCCUGAUCCAGCCAUGCCGCGUGUGUGAAGAAGGCCUUUUGGUUGUAAAGCACUUUAAGCGAGGAGGAGGCUUACCUGGUUAAUACCUGGGAUAAGUGGACGUUACUCGCAGAAUAAGCACCGGCUAACUCUGUGCCAGCAGCCGCGGUAAUACAGAGGGUGCAAGCGUUAAUCGGAUUUACUGGGCGUAAAGCGCGCGUAGGUGGCUAAUUAAGUCAAAUGUGAAAUCCCCGAGCUUAACUUGGGAAUUGCAUUCGAUACUGGUUAGCUAGAGUAUGGGAGAGGAUGGUAGAAUUCCAGGUGUAGCGGUGAAAUGCGUAGAGAUCUGGAGGAAUACCGAUGGCGAAGGCAGCCAUCUGGCCUAAUACUGACACUGAGGUGCGAAAGCAUGGGGAGCAAACAGGAUUAGAUACCCUGGUAGUCCAUGCCGUAAACGAUGUCUACUAGCCGUUGGGGCCCUUGAGGCUUUAGUGGCGCAGCUAACGCGAUAAGUAGACCGCCUGGGGAGUACGGUCGCAAGACUAAAACUCAAAUGAAUUGACGGGGGCCCGCACAAGCGGUGGAGCAUGUGGUUUAAUUCGAUGCAACGCGAAGAACCUUACCUGGCCUUGACAUACAGAGAACUUUCCAGAGAUGGAUUGGUGCCUUCGGGAACUCUGAUACAGGUGCUGCAUGGCUGUCGUCAGCUCGUGUCGUGAGAUGUUGGGUUAAGUCCCGCAACGAGCGCAACCCUUUUCCUUAUUUGCCAGCACUUCGGGUGGGAACUUUAAGGAUACUGCCAGUGACAAACUGGAGGAAGGCGGGGACGACGUCAAGUCAUCAUGGCCCUUACGGCCAGGGCUACACACGUGCUAC
rnacentral:rRNA from 1 species